CCCUUAGAUGUUCUGGGCCGCACGCGCGCUACACUGAUGCAUUCAACGAGUUUUUCCUGGUCCGAGAGGAAUGGGUAACCUUUUGAAAGUGCAUCGUGCUAGGGAUAGACUAUUGCAAUUAUUGGUCUUCAACGAGGAAUUCCUAGUAGACGUAGUUCAUCAGACUGCAUCGAUUACGUCCCUGCCCUUUGUACACACCGCCCGUCGCUCCUACCGAUUGGAUGAUCCGGUGAAUAAUUCGGACUGACGCUUUGAGUGGUUUCCACUCUUUGUGUUGGGAAGUCUAGUAAACCUUAUCAUUUAGAGGAAGCAAAAGUCGUAACA
rnacentral:rRNA from 1 species